UGAAUGUGUGACCGGCAAUAU
rnacentral:piRNA from 1 species